CCUGCGCGUAGCACCCGCCGGGUGCCGUUCGUCCGGGAGACGCGGGCCGCCGCCGGUCCGCGGCCCGUUCCGGGACGGGCCGUGCCGGU
rnacentral:tRNA from 1 species